UACAGAGGUGGCAAGCGUUGUUCGGAAUUACUGGGCGUAAAGGGCGCGUAGGCGGCCUUCUAAGUCAGACGUGAAAUCCCCCGGCUUAACCUGGGAACUGCGUCUGAUACUGGAAGGCUUGAGUAUGGGAGAGGGAUGUAGAAUUCCAGGUGUAGCGGUGAAAUGCGUAGAUAUCAGGAAGAACACCCGUGGCUAAGGCGGCUCUCUAGUACGGUACUGACGCUGAGACGCGAAAGCGUGGGGAGCGAACAGG
rnacentral:rRNA from 1 species